CCAGCUGUGUGUUAGGGCUAGGAUGGCUCCGGGAUUCGUGUGAGGCAAGUGACCGUGCGUGUAAAGGGAUACGUGAUCCCUUGCUCAGGCUGAAGAACUGACCCACUUACAACAGAAGAUGCAGGAAGGGAGAAGUGUCUGCUACCUUUUCACCCAGCAUGUGAAGAACACAGUCAAGUCUUUUGGGGCCUUCUCAGGAACACUGGCAUUGCCUACUACCAGAGACAGAGAUUCUGUGAGCAAAUGGUACAAGGAAGCCAGCUGACAGAGAUCCUUGUCAGAAAACUUGCCACAGUCACACUCUACUCCCAGUCAAAAGUGGAUUGUAUACAUCCUCUUUGAUAUGAUGGUCCCUUUGGUUUUGGUGCCUCUUCCAUGAGCUUCACAUCAGAACUAGCUAUGAAGCUGUGGUUUCAGGCUGCCUUGGUUUAAUCCCUUGUCUUGCCUACUCCACCAGGCUCAGGAGGGAGGUCCAGGAGGAAGAAAUGGAUGAAGUCCUGGAGGACUCACUAGAUUAACAGUAUUUGACUCAUUCCAGGUGCCAUGACUCCCACCAGCUUCCCAGCAGCAAUGCCUUCAUCUUUGAUGCACAGGAAUACCCCUUUGCUCUGGAUAUAGCCAAAGAUGAGAUCCAGAGCCAGUGGCAGCACCUGAAGUAAACCCUUUUCAUCAACAACGGCCUGCAAGAAAAGCUGGAACGUCAUCUCAGCAGCUUUGACAAAGAAAAUGGUAGGAGAGGCCCAAGCACAUCAUAGAUUCCAUUGCCCAGCUGUAUAAUGAAAACAGAGUUCUCAGAGAAUACCGGAGACUCCCCUGACUUGCCUGAAUCAAGUUUCCAGAGGUAACAACUAAUGUUGGAACUAUGAAAAGCUCUUCUCUACUUUUAACAAAUCUUAGUCACAAACAGUUCCCCAGUUGAUGACAAAAACUAAAACAACAGAACAGUUGAAAGUCCAAAUCUGAAAGCUCCAUCUCUGAGAAGCAAAUUUUACAGCCACUUCAGAUUUGUAUUCUAAAUGGAUAGUUUGAUUGUAGAAAUCACAUCCCUUCAGCCUGCAAA
rnacentral:lncRNA from 1 species